CUUACCUUAAAGUGUAUCUCUUACAGGCUUCUUAAAUUUAAAAUUCAUGUAGUCCACUGGGCAUUGAUUCUUGUUUAUUUUAUUUCAAAUUUGACAUCUCGCCAUAUUGUCUCCUUCUUCUUCCGUGAUUAUUGAUCGACUUAAAUUAAGUCAAGUAGAGUCUGCGCGGUACAGUGUUGCCCGAUUGUGCAUAGCAUUUUUAAUGUUGAAAACUCCCGAUUAUGACAUCGUCUUAUUUUAGUUAGUUAAUUUACACUUAGAAUAUAGUAUUAUAGCCUUCCGUUGCAUUGUUGUAUCAGGAAAAACCAAUAUUUUCAAUUAUUUCCGACAUGCUUGACUGUGAUUGGCAGAGCUAUUGUCCAAUCACACUAUGAUUAGUUUCCAGGGGGGGUUUUUCCGCGCGUUUUCUGGGUGGAAAGACAGGAGAAGGUUAGAUUUUUUGGAGGGUGUGUGUGAAUUGGUGGCCAGUGAAAAAUCUAUGAUUUCUGAAAUCAUCUUUAAUUAGGAGCAAUUUUUGUGGCCAUUUAUCAAGAAUUUAGGGGUAUAUAGUGCUGUGGAUUAUAGUAUUUUUGGUGUAAACCCCUUAUUCUGACUUCUUAUGAAGGAUCACUGACACCACGCCGUGUGAAAAUCGUAUCCCCAGGAAAACGAAUUGAGAUACCAUAAGGUCCGUAUUCGUCUGUCCGCAUACGCAGAUAGCCUACAAGCGGCAAGUUUUAUAAAGAACCCCUUAGUUAAGGGGUUUUUUUUUGGGGACCACACACUCUUGGAAUAUUUCCUGAAAGCUUGAUUCCUUUUGUUUUUGAAGCUGGUCUUCUACGUAACAGCAUUUGGAACACUGUUGACGUUCCUGUACGUAUUCAAAUAUCUCCUGUGACAGUCUCAGCCAAGCAUUACGCAAUCGGUGCUACCACGUCUACCAUCAUUCGUCAUCCCAUAGGAGUUUUGGUACAGUUCCAUGGAAGAUCCUCUACCAGACAUAUUUCUUGGAUAAUAAAGGAUAUCACGCAAGUUUUUGAAACAAACAUUUCGCUUUUAUUUUUUUUGCUCUAUGCUUAAAUUUUGAUCGUAACAUUAAAUUAUUAGUAUUGGUAAUUUGCUAUUGCUUAGUAACAUUUAUUAUUUGCUUAGCUUUACUGGCUUAGAUCCGAUUGUUUGCAUGUUUGCGCUUUUGUUAAUAUUCUUUAUUUAUUGGCCAUAUUGGCACAUUUACAUUGUUGUUUUUUUUUUUAUAUAUUUUCUCUUAUUUUUCCGCUUUAUUGACUAGAUUAAUUGACAGCAUUUUGUAAUACGCUUGCGGAAAUUAGGGGUACUUAUCUGCUUAUUUACGGUAUACACCUGCUUGUGUGUAUUUAUGCGCAUGCGCCUGAGCUCAAGCGACGCCAUUUCGAAGCCUAUUGCCUGUCUUUUGCAUUUUGCUUAAAUAGAUUUUAUCUCCCUAAUCUCUAAUCGUUUGCGUAGCUAGUCUCAAUAUUUGCUUUUGCUAUUAAUCAAAAUACUAUUUCAAUUUUCAGACAGUAUUCAGUAAAUAUACAAUUAACUCAAUAAGUGUAAAUACGUAAAAUAAAAUAUAUUUAUCUUGUGUUG